rnacentral:rRNA from 1 species
CUUCUCUGUCAAUGUCAUUUCUCCGUGAGGGUCUGGUCUUGCAUUCUGGACUGGCUUGGCCUCCCGGAUGUCCAACCCCUGGACUGGAACUUGAUGGGUAGCGUUAAUGAAUGGUGGAUCAGUAUCACCCAAGCUAGAGGACAAUCGAGGGAGUUAUUGUCAUCCACAAGCAUGUUGAUCUCCUGGGAGCUUUGGAGGGAGCGCAAUGCGAGGGUCUUCCGCAACUCUGCGACUCCCUCGUCGAUCGUGGUGCAUAACAUCAAAGAGGAAAUUAGAUUAUGGGCGAUUGUGGGCGCUAAGCAUGUGGUUUUGUGA